CAGCUCAGAUACUCUGUGAUGCCAAUUUGCUAAGCUUUUCCCUCUAAAUGACUUUGCUUCUAGCAGUUUCCGGGGGUGGGGGUGGGGGAGCUUUCCUAAAUAUAUUCCUUGUUUCUCUUUGAAGCACUUUUAAGUGUGUGUGUGUGUGUGUGUGUGCAUACAAUUGCAAGAAAGUCCAUGAGAAGAAAGCAUUGUAAGAACCUUGCCACCAUGGCACGCACCACCUGCAAGCUCCUUAAAGACAGCUGCAAAAUCAGGUUGUUCCUUGAAGUCCGCCCAACAGCACCUGCAAGAGCUUGGCAGGAAAUGGCUACUUAUUGGUUACUGAAUGAACGAAGAGGCAAAAGAACAAACAAACCAGAUAUGCGUCCAAACACACAAAAUCUGCUUGCAAAUGUCCAGCCUGGUGUGCGUUCUCCGUGAUUUAUCCUGAAUGGAUAAAACAUUAAUGAAGAAAAUCAAAACAAAUGCAUCUCCCAGACUCUCCAGCAAGGCUGUUUUACACAGUCUAUCUGAGAAAGAAAACGAGAGGAUGGAGAGGAAAAGCCGUCUCCAUGUGACUCCUUGGCAUUUCAUCAUCAAUCAGCAUGAAGUCAGAAACAUCACUAAGUAUUGAAGUUGAAAUUAACUGCAACCUCUGACGGAAAAGUACUUAUUUAGAAUCUUUCAGUUAGUUUCUGUAAUGAAAUAUGGCAAUGAAUUAGCCACACGAUGGUCUGGAGAAAGGUGCUUAAUAAGAAAAACUGCUCAUGUUGGGAAGCCAAGUUCUUCUCAUGUUUAUUUUAGUGACCUCUCCUCUUCCUUUCUCCCUUCUCCCCACCCCCCCACCAAAGCUGUCCUUUCGUGAAGCCAUCAUGGCUGACAACAGAGGCAAAUUGUUCUGAAGAACUUUAAUUAGACUUAAAAUUUGCAAGGUGUCAGGAGCCCUUGUAAUUGUUAAAAGUCCAGAGGCUCUCAAAGAUCAGUAUUCAAAAGAAAGGCAGAGUGUACAAGGGUUAGAGGUUGGGGUUCUGCAGCCACACUACUUGGAUUGGAAACUGGUCCCCCAACAUUUACUCCUGAGACCUUGAGGAAGUCACUUGAUGUGAGCCUCAGUUUCUUCAUCUGUAAAAUGGGUACAAUAAAAACAAAACUCAUGUCAUGGGUAGGUAUUAUGAUAUCAAAAAAAGCUAGAAUAGAAUAGAAUCUGAUACCUGGAAAUAAUCUUUAAAUGGUUACUGCUUUUGUGUAGGAAAAAUUUAGGAUGUGUUUUUAAAAUGUAGAUCUCUGGAUUCCCACUUUGAGAGAUACCAACUUAUUAAAUGUGAAUCAGAGCCCAGAUAUCUGCAUUUUGAUCAACAUCCCAGGUACUCCUGAACCACACUUCAAGUGGCACAGAUUUGACCAAACCCCUUGUUUGGAAAAUAAGAAAAAUGAGUUCUAGAAGGCAAAAUGCCAGUGUCAAGGUCAUAGAGCUAAACAGUGAUCCACCUGAUAUCUCAAGCCCCUCAUCUUCCAUUCUAACUAAUGUGGUCUCCAUCAUAGCCACCUCCAUUUAUUGAGCCUUUAGUAUGAGGUUCUUAACCAGAAGGGCACAUCAGAAACACCUAAAGAGCCUUUCCAAAUACUCAAGGUCAUUGUCCAGCCCAGAUCUGUGGAAUUUCAUGACAAGUGGCAGAUCUCAUACCUGAACCCAAUGGUCCCUGAUUGUUUCAUGGUACCAGCUGGUAACUUUUCAUUAGCUUCUCAUGCUCAUCUUAGGCUAGAGCUGAGGGCAUAUACUUUAACUCAUAUUUGAGUCAUUUUUCUUUCCUAACCAUACUGCUGGAUUAUGGUACUAUAACAGAUGUAAAUUAUUAACUAAUAAAUAUAUUUUCAGUUUAUUUCUCUUUCCUUCACACUAUGGAAAACUGGCAUUGGCCACUGCCCAGGUAAAGCAUUUAUCUCUCCUCCUCAGUCUCCUAGGGCCUUUAAUAGACAGAUUGAGAUAAUCCAGUGGUUCUCAGCUGGGAUUGGUUUGGCCACCCAGGGAACAUUUGGCAAUGUCCUAAGACAUUUUUGGUUGUCACACCUGGGGGGAAAUGUUACUGGCAUCUAGUAGAUGGAGACCAAGAAUGCUGCUAAAUGUCCUGUAAUACACAGGACAUCUCCUACAACAACAACAAAAAUUUAUGGACCCAAAUGUCAUUGGUUACAUUAGCUAAUCAGGGGGAUGAAGGACUCAGAAAAAGAAUUUAUUUCAGAAAGCCUUAAGAGCCACUUCUAGAGUUCUAGAGGGGGAAAAACUCAUGUGGCAAAGGAAAGAGCAAGAAGAGAAGAGUGGGGCCUACCAUUUGGGAACAUCGAAGAGAGUCUGAAGAGAAUAUGGAGCAGCAGGGAAAGAAUGUGGGCAACUUCAAGGUAUGAGAGAGUUAGCAACUGAGAGGACAUGGUACUUUGGCUUAGGAAUCGAAUCUUUUCCAAUGUCCCUCAAGAGAUGCAAGUUCAGAUUAGAAUGCCUUACACAUUAAAUUUGAUGCUACUCCAAGCCUGGGCCCAUGGAUCACUGCCUUAUAUUAUGAUGAUAGAACAUCUUUAGAAUUAGAACCUCUUCCUAAAGGUGGUAAAGCCAAUAUUAAAGUGUCAAAAUAAUUUGCUUUUUCCUAAUUGAAAAAUAGGAUGUAUUUGGAUGACGUUAGGUCAACAUCCUACACAUAUACCAUAUACAGCCCAAAUGCUUUUCAGGAGGCGAAAGAGUGGGAAGGUGACAGAAGUCAAUCCAAAGACCGUGAAAACUCUAGUACAAAAUUUAUGCUUUGGCUUUGCCCCUUGUUUGGUCAUUAACUAACCACAUUGACUAAAGGCCAUUAAAUAUCCUGUUGAUUCCAAAAAGCCAAAUACGGUAAAACCCUUAGGCUGAUGGGGACAGAACUUUCUGGAAAUAGGGCCUGUGUGAAGGAAUACCCCCUGUCAUAGAUUGAUACAAUAAUGGCCCCUAUGCAUGCAUCUCUGCAAUAGGAUAUUGCAUUCCUUCCUACCACCCCACAAUCUGUGCUAGUCUGGUGACGUCUUUUGACCAAUCAAAAGUGGUGGAAGUGAUGUAUGAGCUCUGAGCCCUGGCCAUAGGAGACCGUGGCUUCAGUUCCCACUGUCUUAGAAUCCUGAGACCUCCAUGCUGUGGAGAAGCCCCAUCUAGCCUGUUGGAGCAUGGGCUGGCGGGUGGUGCAUGUAAUGGAGAGCUGAGACACGCUGCCCAUUAACAGCUGGCACCAACCGCCCACCAUUUAAAUGAAGUUCUCUGGAACUUUCAGCCCCAAUCUGUCACAUAACUGCAGCUACAUGAGCAACCUCAGGCAAGACCAGCAAAAGAACCACAUUGGCUGCCACCCCCCCACACACACAUUGGGAGAAAUAAAUCAUUGCUGUUUGAGGAUGACUUGUUUCUCAGAAAUAAGUACCUGAAAAAUUUCCCCAAAGGCCCCAGGAUCAAAAUGUUUUCGGCAAGGAUGGUUUGCACCAGAAACUAUGGUAGCUGUAUCCACCACUUACCCCCCAUGUGUUUCUGCUUCUCCCAGGCCCACAACAGCUCAACGUGGAUCCCAGGUUCACCCUAAGCAGAAUGAUGAAGUCAAUAAAGUGUUUGUGGACUUUCUUGUUAUGUAUUCUUUCCUCUUGUAGGAGCUUCUGUCCUCCCACAGACACCUCUAGGAUGCCAGGGCCCCCAACAGGGGCAACUUAUCACCACCAGCCUUCUACCAGGUGGGGCUCCUCCUUUAUCUUGCCCACGAAAACUUUUCUUCCCUCAAUACCCUGCUCCCACCUUCCUGUCACAGGGAAAAUGGUCGAGCUCUAUCAAGUUACUAAGGUGUAAAUGACCGAUGGAAUGUUCUCACAAUCUUUAUCAAUAAUAUUAGAAUGCUAUAUACCUCAGACGUAUAUGCGACCUCUAACUUCACACUGACCAGAUAAGAGGGAUGCAUGAAGAAAAAGAAGGACUCUUCCAAGGUUGUGGAGCUAAUAAAGACAGAGCUUAACCUUUCAGAUUCUAAAGAAGGCACUUUCUAGUAUUUAACAUUGCUGGAUGUAUAGCUGUGACCUUGGAUACUUAAUUUCAGAAACUCCAUCUGGUAAGGGGGUGGAGGGGAUAGUUUGGAAAAUGCUGAGCCAUUCACUAGGUGUCCCAUGGAGGCUCAUUGUCCCUAAAGCACCGUCCAAGCCAUUGUGAGAGCUACAUAUAAGAACCACCGAAGAUUUAUGAGCAAGGGGGUGCACGAUACUUGUUUCUCCCUGAAAGGUCGCUUUCCCAGUAGCCUUGGAGAAUAAAUUAGGAAAUAGAGUGAGCAGCUAGGAGCCUACUUCAGUGCACCAGGUAAGAAUGGGCAGACCUGAACUAAGGCAGAUUAGAAAGUCUAGAAGUUGCAUGGAGGUAAAAUUCACAGAAUUGUCGUGACAUUUUGAGGCCUGGGUUUUAAAAUCUCCUCUGUCUGGUGACAUAUAAUAAUAAGUCUCUGCUAAGGAUUAGCAAAGUGGGGCCAGGCUCUGGAAUCAGAUACAAGUGGAUUUGGAUCCUAAGCCUAUCCUUUUCAAUAGCUGGAUACCUUUGGGCAGAAGAGUUGACC